rnacentral:rRNA from 1 species
UACGGAGGGUGCAAGCGUUAUCCGGAUUCACUGGGUUUAAAGGGAGCGUAGGUGGGUUGGUAAGUCAGUGGUGAAAUCCCCGAGCUUAACUCGGAAACUGCCGUGGAUACUCUCUGUCUUGAAUCCCGUGGAGAUGAGCGGAAUAUGUCAUGUAGCGGUGAAAUGCUUAGAUAUGACAUAGAACACCAAUUGCGAAGGCAGCUCGUUACACGAAGAUUGACUCUGAGGCACGAAAGCGUGGGGAUCAAACAGG